AGCUGUCGAAAGAUGGUUUUCUUCGGACACUCUUCAAGGUGCUGCAUGGUUGUCGUCAGCUCGUGCCGUGAGGUGUCGGGUUAAGUCCCAUAACGAGCGCAACCCUUACCGUUAGUUACCAUCAGGUUAAGCUGGGGACUCUAGCGGGACUGCCACCGUAAGGUGAGAGGAAGGUGGGGAUGACGUCAAAUCAGCACGGCCCUUAUGUCCAGGGCUACACACGUGUUACAAUGGCCGGUACAAAGGGCAGCUACUUCGCGAGAAGAUGCUAAUCUCGAAAGCCGGUCUCAGUUCGGAUCGAAGUCUGCAACCCGACUUCGUGAAGCUGGAUUCGCUAGUAAUCGCGCAUCAGCCAUGGCGCGGUGAAUACGUUCCCGGGCCUU
rnacentral:rRNA from 1 species